rnacentral:lncRNA from 1 species
UUAGGAUUCUUGCUCAAGUAAAAGAGGAAGAAAUUAGGAACUUGCCUGGUCUACUACUUACACGACUUAGUUCUAUCUUUAAUUCAACGACCUAUCAUUUAUAAGGUUAUUCUAUUGAUUAGAAUAACAUAUCAUAACACAUCAUACUGUUAUUUACAGUCAAUACAUAACCUAAUCACAUUGUCACAUAGUUAUAUCAGUCAUUAAGAC